GGGUGAGUAAUAUAUCGGAACGUACCCGGCAAUGGGGGAUAGCUCGGCGAAAGCCGGAUUAAUACCGCAUAUGCCCUGAGGGGGAAAGUGGGGGACCGUAAGGCCUCACGUUGUCGGAGCGGCCGAUAUCAGAUUAGCUAGUUGGUGGGGUAAAGGCCUACCAAGGCGACGAUCUGUAGCGGGUCUGAGAGGAUGAUCCGCCACACUGGGACUGAGACACGGCCCAGACUCCUACGGGAGGCAGCAGUGGGGAAUUUUGGACAAUGGGGGAAACCCUGAUCCAGCCAUGCCGCGUGAGUGAAGAAGGCCUUCGGGUUGUAAAGCUCUUUCGGGCGGAAAGAAAUCCUAUUCACUAAUACUGAGUGGGGAUGACGGUACCGUAAGAAGAAGCACCGGCUA
rnacentral:rRNA from 1 species